rnacentral:rRNA from 1 species
UUACGGGAGGCAGCAGUGGGGAAUUUUGGACAAUGGGGGCAACCCUGAUCCAGCCAUUCCGCGUGAGUGAAGAAGGCCUUCGGGUUGUAAAGCUCUUUUGUCCGGAGCGAAACGGGUAGCCCUAAUACGGCUGCCUACUGACGGUACCGGAAGAAUAAGCACCGGCUAACUACGUGCCAGCAGCCGCGGUAAUACGUAGGGUGCGAGCGUUAAUCGGAAUUACUGGGCGUAAAGCGUGCGCAGGCGGUUUUGUAAGCCAGAUGUGAAAUCCCCGGGCUUAACCUGGGAAUGGCAUUUGGGACUGCAAGGCUGGAGUAUGGCAGAGGGGGCUAGAAUUCCUGGUGUAGCAGUGAAAUGCGUAGAUAUCAGGAGGAAUACCGAUGGCGAAGGCAGGUCCCUGGGCUAAUACUGACGCUCAUGCACGAAAGCGUGGGGAGCAAACAGGAUUAGAUACCCCCGUAGUCCC